GAUGAACGCUGGCGGCGUGCCUAAUACAUGCAAGUCGAGCGAACAGACGAGGAGCUUGCUCCUCUGACGUUAGCGGCGGACGGGUGAGUAACACGUGGAUAACCUACCUAUAAGACUGGGAUAACUUCGGGAAACCGGAGCUAAUACCGGAUAAUAUAUUGAACCGCAUGGUUCAAUAGUGAAAGACGGUUUUGCUGUCACUUAUAGAUGGAUCCGCGCCGCAUUAGCUAGUUGGUAAGGUAACGGCUUACCAAGGCAACGAUGCGUAGCCGACCUGAGAGGGUGAUCGGCCACACUGGAACUGAGACACGGGCCAGACUCCUACGGGAGGCAGCAGUAGGGAAUCUUCCGCAAUGGGCGAAAGCCUGACGGAGCAACGCCGCGUGAGUUAUGAAGGUCUUCGGAUCGUAAAACUCUGUUAUUAGGGAAGAACAAAUGUGUAAGUAACUAUGCACGUCUUGACGGUACCUAAUCAGAAAGCCACGGCUAACUACGUG
rnacentral:rRNA from 1 species